AAACACGAUCCCUUCAUCGCUCUGUUCUCUACCCCGUAUCUUCCUCUCCCUCUCCCUCACACGUAUCUUCCUCUCUUUCUUUCUCUCUCUCUCUAAACCCUAGAAACUAUCCCACCGACCCUUCCUUUCUCAGAAGAAAUUCCACGCAUCUCCUCUCUCCAUUCUCUCUCUUCCCCCAGGGAAAACGAAAUCAUCUUCUCUCCACAAACUGAAGCAAGGGAGUUUUCGGCAUGGAUCCAGCUGAUCAAUGAUCGUAAUGCAUCAAAUUUUGGUUCCUCAUCUGGAUCUAAAAAACAACUGGAUCAGGAUCUAAACCAAUGGCGACAAUACAAAACAAACCCGGAAAGUACGCGGACACAGAUUGAUAUAUCAGUUCACAUUAUUCAAUAUCUGCAACACUGUAUGGAAUAUUUUUCGUAGGUUCAGAACCUACAAGUAACCACUUUCAAUUUGAUUUUAUGUUUGGGCAGCUUUUUUAGUUUCUUUCCAAUAUAAUUGGUGUAGUUGAUUGAUUGCUUGACCAAAGCAUUCAACGUCACAAACGGAUUAAAAGUGGACCAGUUUGUGGGUUCCAAGUUUCUAAAUAUUAUUCAGAUGAUAUAUGUAGUUGGGCAGUGCUACAUCUUCGGUUUUUCUAAUCUCCUCAACUUACAUGCUUGAUCACACUGUAAUCCAUGAUGGACGAUGCAGUGGAGAAGGGUUAACGCAAGGCAAUGCUGGAGGUUCCAUUUGUUAAUCUGCUUUAUCUAGCGUCUGCCUAUCGGUCAUCUCAACAAACUACGUGGGCAGGUGUUUCUCAAUGGGCAGGCGUUUCCUCUCCACCAGUGCAUCUCCAGAGUCACUCCCAACUGCCGGUAGCUAGGCCCAUUAUUGUCCUUAGUACGGCCCUAACAGCCACCAGCAUACCGAUUACAGCCUGUCUAUUUCUAAAAAAAAUCCUGCACUUUUCUUGGACCAGGGAAAGACGAUAAUCAGACCAACUAGAUAGCAAAUGCGGAUAUGCAUCGAACAGACUCCAUGUACGUGUUACAAGACUGAAGGGCCCAAAUCCUUUCUUUGAAUUGACACAUGUGGAGAAAAAGCAUGCACUUCCCUUGAGCAGGGCGAAGACGAGAAUCGGACCAACUAGAUAUGUUGGUCUUCUCUCAAAUCUGCAUUCAGGACAGUGGGUUUAGGAAAGUGUUGAGGCGGGCGUUGUCUAUACAGUGGCCGGAUGCUGGAUGCGCAUUUUGCGGAGAUGUCGAUGCAAUGGCACCGGAAGAGGGAUUCAUAUCCGGUGGCAGCUAUAGGCUGCGGCAGGGUAGUCCGGCAUGGGCUCGCGGAAGACUGGAAAUUUGGAAAAGGAUGGGCGAGGACUACAUAGAGAGGCAAACCGGACACAGCGAGGGGCAGAUAGAUGGCACGUCAACACGUUUUUUAGAGGUGGCUUCUACAGUUUUUGUUGUUGGACUACAAACAACAGAACAUAUACGGUUUGCAUGUCUCCAUAUCUAUGACUUUAGCCACAAACAGCAUUUUAGAUGGCAUCUACAGUUUUUUUAUUGAACAGAU